GGGGAUGUAGCUCAGUGGUAAAGCACUUGCCUAGUACGUGUAAGGCCCUGGGUUCAAUCCCCAGCACCA
rnacentral:tRNA from 1 species